rnacentral:rRNA from 1 species
AUUGAACGCUGGCGGCAGGCUUAACACAUGCAAGUCGAGCGGGGGAAGGUAGCUUGCUACUGGACCUAGCGGCGGACGGGUGAGUAAUGCUUAGGAAUCUGCCUAUUAGUGGGGGACAACAUCUCGAAAGGGAUGCUAAUACCGCAUACGUCCUACGGGAGAAAGCAGGGGAUCUUCGGACCUUGCGCUAAUAGAUGAGCCUAAGUCGGAUUAGCUAGUUGGUGGGGUAAAGGCCUACCAAGGCGACGAUCUGCAGCGGGUCUGAGAGGAUGAUCCGCCACACGGGGACUGAGACACGGCCCAGACUCCUACGGGAGGCAGCAGUGGGGAAUAUUGGACAAUGGGGGGAACCCUGAUCCAGCCAUGCCGCGUGUGUGAAGAAGGCCUUAUGGUUGUAAAGCACUUUAAGCGAGGAGGAGGCUACUUUAGUUAAUACCUAGAGAUAGUGGACGUUACUCGCAGAAUAAGCACCGGCUAACUCUGUGCCAGCCGCCGCCGUAA